UUUUUUCGGCGCUCCCUCCAAGUCAACCCCAAAACCCUCUAGAAUCUGGACAAAAACCUCCGUUUCUAAAAAUAUCGUGUAUUUUCAGUGAAACAAUUAGAUAUUGAUGAUAUACUGAUAUAUUAACUUGCAAGGAACAUAUAUAACAGGUUUUGUAUACGCAGGCAUGUCCUUUACCGAGCAACGCCACGACUCGAGUUGAGGUGAGAGUAGUGAGAAAAUAAAAGUAAAGAGUGACGAUCUAGUCUAGAAGUCUGGUAGAAUGCACUGCUUUGCAAUGCUAUGCUUUGGGAUACCUCUUCAAGCCAGUCCUUGAAUUCGUCAAGUUUAAGUCACGCGUACUCCUUCGAGAACUUCUGUCGGUAUAUGGUGACUUCUUCUCUGGAUUGGAAGGCUUCCCCAUUAUUGUGAGGAGGGAUAUUGUGCCCCAGAAGCAAACAGACUCGCGAAAAAUCCAAAGAGCUUCACAGAGUAUGCAAAACCCAACACGCGUCCGCCGUCACGGAGAGGAGCGGACGCUUGGCCGGAGCAGACGCCAGCACACGAAGCACGAAGAAACCCCGGGUUAACAGCCUUGUUGUUGGCCAUCGUCCAAGGUUGUUACGCCGAUGGUGCAUGUCCUGGACUGAGCAUCUGCCAUCAGGAAGUUUGUGCAGUGGCCCCUCUUUGUAACACUCCGGCGGAGUAUGCUUGUCGUACUCACCAGAACAGCGAUGGAAGCUCUUGCUACUGUUUUCCGAAAUGCGUCGAUAACAUAGAUGAGUGUCAACAGAGCACUCAAUGCGAAACAGUAGACUGUAGACAAACAGUAGAGUCAAACUGCACACACACCUGGGUUUGGCCGUCGGGCAAGUGCAACUGUUGCGGUGCGUUAAUAGACAACUGCUAUCUGCAAUCACUCAUCUCAGAAGGGUGCUGCCCGUUUUAAAUUCGGAACACAACAGACGAUGAAGCACAUACUAGAAGACAACAUAAAAGCCAAGCCAAGUUGUGUUUUUUAUAUGACAUAAUUUGUACCACAAAAUGUAAACCUGAUUUAACGGCA